CCAGGUGAAGGAGCUCCUGCACAAGAGAGCUACCCUGAGACAUUUUGCUGCCUGUUUUGCUACAUCUGAGUGUCGUAAGACUCCAGGAGCCCACAAGAGCGCUGCCUAUCACAGAAACCUCAUACAUGUUACCUGAGGUCCCAGAUGUCUGGAAAAGGACAAUUAAAGUCUUCAUCUUUAAGAAGAUGGCAAGGAGGAUUUGCGGUAUUAGAGACAAGAAGGUGAAGGCAAAAAGGAAGCUCCCUCUUUACAAGAGCCCUAUGGAUCCCAGCCCUGAGGAUCAAGCUGGAGUGGAACUGCUUUAAGGAAGCGUUGUUAGCCCUGCAAGGGAGCAAUGUAAUUUGACCCACCCCCAACAAAUGGGGAUGAAUUGAUUUAAGUUGAUAAUUUUAUGGACACCUGAUGAACUUAACUACAUUGAGUGACCCAUGAAUCUGGGAUGGAUUUAAUUUAAGUUGAUUAACUUAAAUUAACUGCCAGCAGCACUGCUGGUUGAUGCAAGAUUCAGACCCAGAUAUGUAUCAUCUGACUGGAUGGGGUGUAAGGGGAGGAGGAGUCCCAUGAAGAAAACCCACCUGGGAGACUUGGCAAAACUGUCACCCAGCCUAUAUCCAACUCCCAACAAGCAAAAAUGUAUAUCAAGAUGUGGCAUGCAAGAGAGGAACAUCUUAGGUUGGUAGUGGUGGUACUAUCUGGUUUGCUCCAACAGCAUACUUAAGUAAGGUGUCCAGCAGGUGAGAGCCCCAGCCUUAUAAUACGCACCCCCAACAACAGGUUUACAGCACGGGUUACUUUCAGGUGAUUCUGCCUGCAUCCCAUGUGCCUUUGUGCCAGGAGGAGGGAAGGAGUGAUGGUGUCUCUGCCCACAGUGCCCUGAGGACCAGGGGAGCUGGCAGCCCAGUGGAGCAUGCUAUAGGGGGGAGGAGUCUCUCCCCCACUUGCUCCCCCAGGACCAGUGAUCAGCUUAGUCAGGCUCACUGAAGGGGGAGGGGUCAAUCCCUCCUGCUUAAUCCUCUGGGACCAGGAAAGUGAUCAGCCUGGCCAGGCAUGCUAUGCGGGGAGGAGUCUCUUCUUCUGCUUGCUCCUCCACGGCUGGGGAAGCAAGUGCGGGGAGAAACUCCUGUCAUCACAACAUCUCAUCCCUUCCUCCAGUCAGGCUGGGGCUCUCAGGUGGCUGGAGAGAGGAGGUGGGGCUGGGAUGAGAGACUUUCACUAACAGCCCAAGAGCGGAGCUGACCACAGCAGCCCCAGGCAGGCAAGCUACUCGGCUAUGGCUAUCCCCUUCCACUGCUGUCGACAGUCUCCAGCAGUCCCCAGAGCUUGCAGAGCAUGCUGGAGAGGCACUUGGUACACACCUCCUGGCCUCAGGCAGUGCAGGGAGGCUUUGAACCACACACCCCCACA